rnacentral:rRNA from 1 species
ACGCUCGACACCUACGGAGGCAGCAGUGGGGAAUAUUGGGCAAUGGAGGCAACUCUGACCCAGCAACGCCGCGUGAAUGAUGAAGGUCUUCGGAUUGUAAAGUUCUGUGACGGGGGACGAACACAAUGACGGUACCCCGAUAGCAAGCCACGGCUAACUACGUGCCAACAGCCGCGGUAAUCUGAGCGGGCUGGCAAGGC